UCCCUUUAUAAGCUUCCCCCUUGCUGCCGUUUACACUUCCCCGGUUAGUAUCUGAAGCAUUUGUGAGAGGCUUGAGUGAAAGAAGAGAGUCGGGUCGGGGGGUUGAUUAGCGAUCGGUGAUCAUGUCCACGAGAAGAUCAAGAACAUCUCAGUUCACAGAUGAUGAGAUCCAUGAUCUCAUCUUCAAGUUACAGGCUAUGCUUCCCCAGCUUGAGCAAAGGAGAAACGAUGGAAAGGUAGCCCCAUCAGAGGUUUUGAAGGAAACAUGCAGUUACAUUAGGAGCCUACACAGAGAGAUGGAUGAGCUGAGCGAAAGACUGACUACACUGUUGGAUAAUAUGGAGAUAUCUAGUGUUGAUGCACAACUUCUUCGAAAUGUUCUUCUACAAUAAAGCCUCCUUGUCUUGCUUCUCUCUCUCUCUCUCUCUCUCUCUCUCUCUCUCUCUCUCUCUAUGUAUGUUGGUUGGUUCGAAGACAACUCUUCGGAGAGAGAUAUUUUGUAUCUUCUACCGCUAAACUUAAGUUUCUUCUUUCCCCAAACUUUC